rnacentral:rRNA from 1 species
UACGGGGUAGGUGCACGUUGUCCGGAAUUAUUGGGCGUAAAGAGCUCGUAGGCGGUUUGUCGCGUCUGGUGUGAAAAUCCAGGGCUUAACCCUGGACCUGCAUCGGGUACGGGCAGACUAGAGUGCGGUAGGGGAGAUCGGAAUUCCUGGUGUAGCGGUGAAAUGCGCAGAUAUCAGGAGGAACACCGGUGGCGAAGGCGGGUCUCUGGGCCGAUACUGACGCUGAGGAGCGAAAGCGUGGGGAGCGAACAGG